GAUUUCCCCUUGGAUUUGUCGCCUGGACGUAUUGGCCUUCCCCGUGACCGAACUCAGACUGCCCCUGGACGACGCCCCCCGGAUUUCCCUGUCGCUCGGCUUCCGACACGCUGUGGAGCAAGGACUCCUAAAGAAGUCAUCUCCCCAUCAGGAGUUGUCGGCCCGUAAGCACGAGCAGCACGUCCCGAAAGCCUCCGCUUCCCUGUUUUUUCAAUAAAAUCGGCUCAAGAGCCA